GAGGUUCUUCGCAGCGCGAAGCUAAGAAGGGAACGCGGUAUGCCGCGGCUGCCCCCGCAACUGUAAACGGUCGUUGAUCUUGCAAUGCCACUGCUUCACAGGCGGGAAGGCGCAAGGUAGGUAUCAGCCGUAAGCCAGGAGACCUGCCUCGUAACA
rnacentral:ncRNA from 1 species